UUCAACCUCUGUCACCAGAAUCAUAUGAUUCAAAUGAUCCUCCUGCCUCAGCCUCUCAAGUAGCUGGUACUAUAGUGAAGGAAACUCAUGUUGACUGAACAGCUCCCCUGGGAUGUGUGGGCCCUGGGAUGAGAACUUUCACAUAGCUGCUGAGUUCAUGUCCAUCACCACCCUGUGAGGUGGAGCCCAGCAAGAUGACUUCUACCCUACAAAGAGGUUGAGAAUCCUGUUUCAAAUGCUGGAUGGAUCCCUGUGAAUCUGUCACUUUAAGAAGGGAGACUGCCCAGUGAAAGCAGUGGAAAGAAAAAGAGUGUUAAAAGAUAAGGACACUGAAGCACCGAGAAGGAAACAGAAGGUUCAGGACAAAGCCAGCUCUGUCUCCUGUACCAACCUUGCAUGAAAAACAACCAACGCAAU